rnacentral:rRNA from 1 species
UAACAAGGAUUCCCCUAGUAACUGCGAGUGAAGCGGGAAGAGCUCAAAUUUAAAAUCUGGCAGUCUUCUGGCUGUCCGAGUUGUAAUCUGGAGAAGCGUUUUCUGUGUUAGACCGUGUACAAGUCUCCUGGAACGGAGCGUCAUAGAGGGUGAGAAUCCCGUCCAUGACACGGACUACUAAUACUUUGUGAUACGCUCUCGAAGAGUCGAGUUGUUUGGGAAUGCAGCUCAAAAUGGGUGGUAAAUUCCAUCUAAAGCUAAAUACAGGCGAGAGACCGAUAGCGAACAAGUACCGUGAGGGAAAGAUGAAAAGCACUUUGGAAAGAGAGUUAAACAGUACGUGAAAUUGUUGAAAGGGAAACGCUUGAAGUCAGUCGCGUUGUGCAGAACUCAGCCUUGCCUUGGCUUGGUGUACUUUCUGCACAACGGGUCAACAUCAAUUUUGGCCUAUGGAGAAAGGUGGGGGGAAUGUAGCGCUGUUUCGGCAGCGUGUUAUAGCCCUCUAUUGUAUACAUGGGCUGGGAUUGAGGAUCGCAGCACGCCCUUGUGGCCGGGGGUUCGCCCUACGUACCGUGCUUAGGAUGUUGGCAGAAUGGCUUUAAGCGACCCGUCUUGAAACACGGACCAAGGAGUCUAACAUGCUUGCGAGUGUUCGGGUGGAAAACCCUUGUGCGUAAUGAAAGUGAAAGUUGGGAACCUCCGCAAGGGGGUGCACCGACGCCCGGCCCUGACGUUCUCUGACGGUGCUGCGGUAGAGCAAGUAUGCUAGGACCCGAAAGAUGGUGAACUAUGCCUGAAUAGGGCGAAGCCAGAGGAAACUCUGGUGGAGGCUCGUAGCGAUUCUGACGUGCAAAUCGAUCGUCAAAUUUGGG